ensembl:lncRNA
UCUUCCUCCUACUCCUCUUGCUCUCUGUUCAUUGUUAGCAUCCAUUGUUCAAAACAGGUCAUCUGACCUUUGACCUAUUUAUAGGCCUAUCUAUACUACUGUAAAGUAAAGCAGUGAUUGGUUAGUGAUCAGUUAAGCAAUUAGUGUUUGCACAUGUGAGGAGUGUGUCUGUGUGACCUGGUGAAUAAGUGUAGCAUUUUGAUUGGUUGUGUUUGGAAAAGGAAAGCAAGUCACUUCCUGAUAGAUCUUUGUGUUUUAGGUAGAGAAUUGUGUGUAGUGUUUUGAAAAAAAGUGUUUUAUGCAAUUGAAAACUGAGUCAAAGGCUGAGAAAUAGCUUAUGGUUUUGAAGAUUUGGCAUGUAGUUUUGCACUUUGAGUGAGAGGUUUCAAAAAUCGUGUGACAUGAAAAGAUUUUGUGUGUAAGCAGUUGGUAAAAACUGUAUUAUAUCUGCAUGCAAAAAUAUGCAAAGGUUUAACCUUUGGCCAACACAGACUUUGCAUGAAAAAUAAUAAAUUCUAAAUGAAUUCAUGUCUUUAACUUGCAGGUGAGACCUUCAUCAUUUCUGAAUAUGUACAGCACAGGAAAUGAGACCGUGACAGAUGUGUGAAAAACCCCUCGCUGUCUGAUAUGUAAACAGAUUCAGGUUUUGAUAGGAACAACAAUACUGAAGGAAGCCGCAGAUCUCUGAGCAGCUCCGAGGAAAGGCUCACACUCAAAACUGGGUAAAGCAGUGGCCAGGUGAAGUGUACAGCACACCCGGAGAAAACAUCACCAUACACUGCCAGACUCAAGGAGACAUUCAGGAAGCUAAGUGUUUAGUAAACUGGUACAUCAAGAACAGACAUGGGAAAUAUGUCAGCAUCAACAAACUCACUCAGUUUAGCGGGAGACAUUCUGAAGACAAAAAAGAAAGCCACUGGCGCCAGAGCUUUACCCUGACGUCCCUAGAGCUCAAUGACACUGGCAGAUUCUACUGUAAUUACUUGUGCAGAAUUAAUGGCACACAUGAGCAGUACUAUGGGACUGGGACUCGACUUUUUGUACAUUUUAGGACUGAGAAUGUGACUAAGGGCAGCCCACUGUGUACCUUCAAUAAGACAGGUGAAGUGGAGGGUGAAUCCAGAGUAUACUUGUUUUUCCUAUUUCUUGUUUUAAUUGUUUUAUUGUCUAAAGUUGUUGUAUUUAUAUUUAUGACUUUGGUUGCACUUUUUUCUCCUCAUUAAAUCUAACUCCUGUUUCCUUUAUGCAAGACAAGUUUAUUUAUAUAGCACAUAUGAUAAAAACAAUGAUGAUCCAAAGUGCUUAAAUUGACAAUUCAUGAAG